AUUCAGCUGAGUCCCAAAUAGGACAAACUCGAGUCCUGGAU
rnacentral:hammerhead_ribozyme from 1 species